GUGAACCUACGGACGCAGCAGUGAGGAAUAUUGGUCAAUGGGCGGGAGCCUGAACCAGCCAAGUCGCGUGAGGGAAGACGGUCCUAUGGAUUGUAAAUCUCUUUAGGCGGGGAGCAAUGCCGGGCACGCGUGUCCGGAGGGAGAGUACCCGCAGAAUAAGCAUCGGCUAACUCCGUGCCAGCAGCCGCGGUAAUACGGAGGAUGCGAGCGUUAUCCGGAUUUAUUGGGUUUAAGGGGUGCGUAGGCGGAUUUUUAAGUCAGCGGUAAAAUGUCCGGGCUCAACCCGGGCCGGCCGUUGAAACUGG
rnacentral:rRNA from 1 species